GAAAUGCGAUACGUAAUGUGAAUUGCAGAAUUCAGUGAAUCAUCGAAUCUUUGAACGCACAUUGCACUCUCUGGUAUUCCGGAGAGUAUGCUUGUUUGAGUAUCUGUAAACAUCUCAAAUCUCUCUUCAAUUGCUUCAAUUGGGUCGAGAGAAUUGGAUUUGAGCGAUCCCGACUCCUUCGUCAGAAAGAGGAGGGUCGCUUGAAAUGCAGGUGCAGCUGGACAUUCUUCUGAGCAAAAAGCAUAUCUAUUUAGUCCCGUCAAACGGAUUAUUACUUUUGCUUCAGCUAAUAUAAAGGUUGAAUGAACUACCAACGCUGAUUGCAGGAAAACAUGUUCGUUUAUUCGGACUUGUAAACUCGAUCUCAAAUCAAGUAAGACUACCCGCUGAACUUAA
rnacentral:misc_RNA from 1 species